rnacentral:lncRNA from 1 species
GACCUACAGAAAUUGGUUAGAGUGAUACUAUGGAUUGAAGAAUAUAAUUGCAAAUCAAGAAAUAUAAGUCUUAUUUUAUUUUUGUGCUCAUGUGAUUUGACCAUCUCCAAAACAAAUGGGGUAAAAAUUGCAGAAAUUAGCAGGAGUUGGAAUCCCCCUUCAAUGCUAGCGUUAAUAGAUUUCUUUUCUCUAUAGCGAUUGUAAUUGAACAUUACUAAUUGCAUAAAAUGUAGACUAAAUUAUAAGAUUAUAAGAGAAAAAAGACAAAAAGUUACUGCUUUAAAGACAAAUAGCAAGCCUGUGUACCUUGUGACCACAAGAUUAAGCAGAUUCCGAGAGCAGAGUUUGUGAAGGUUGGAAAUGGCAUAAAUGCCGCCUUUAUCUAGUUUGUGCAAUUCUGCCCACAUAUCUAUAAGAGCAGUGGCAGGGAUUUUUUGGUCUUCAGGAAAUGAACCCAAGUCCAUAAAACACUCUUUCAGCAUAAUAUCCUUGUCAUCAAGGGCAUCUAAGCUACUUUGAAGACAAUUACGCAGUUCAUCUUCAGAAUUGACAAUGGAUUCACCUUCAGAUAAUUUCAUCAGUGUGCUUCUCCAGAUCUCUACAGGCUGCUCAUGGAGAGAUCUGCCAACCACUUCCAGGGCCAGUGGAAAUCCCUUGCAGCGCCUCACUAUCUGCAGUUCAGCACCAGAACCAAAUAAAAUUAGUUCUGGUUUGCAGGGAAACAAAAAGGAAUGCAGGUGUGAUAAAUUAAUGUAGAGUGAGAAACCACCCCAUUCACAAGUUCUUCACUGGGCAUCCCAUCCUCAGGGAUUGCUGAGUGACAAAAAAGAGUCUUGGCAUCUUCUUCAUUCAACAAUUUCAAGUUAUAUGUAGAACCAAAUCCUGGAAAUUCAUUUCUAGAUGUAACCAGAACCUUGAAUUUCGAUAUUUGGAACUUAAACUUGUCUGGGACAGAUUUCGACCCAGACCAAACGUCAUCUAGGACCAACAGUAUACGACCAGAUUCUACUUUCCUCUUCAGCAUUAGUUCCAAUUGGUUGACUGCAUCUUCCUCACUUUGAAACCCCUGCACUCGUUCAGCAUUAUGCCAAAAUAGUUUCUUGAUGAUGCCAAUUAGGUCGCAUGUUUUUGACACCGUGACAUAGCAAAUGUCCGUAAAAUAUUCUGUUCAAAAUGGUAGAAAGAAGUGAUUUAGCAAUGAGUUCAUACAAUAUUUCAUUAGACCAAAAAAGAUUUUUGGAUGAAUUUCACUUGUAUACCAUGGAAUAUUUCAUAUUUGGUUUGCUAACAUGAAGGGAAAGAAAAGAAAGCAAGAUUUUGUAGGAAUACCCUUGACUUGUUGGUCGUGACAAAGCCUUUUAGCCAAAGUGGUUUUCCCACAUCCUCCAGGAGCCGACACCACAAUCCUUGAUUCCCCAUCCGUAAACAGCCGCCUCUUCAAUUCUUUGAGAGGCACAUCUAGUCCCACCAUAAAAGCCGGCGGAUCAGUAGCCUCACAGGAACCCAAACUUUCAUAGUUAUCGGAAACCCCUCUGUUACUGAAACUCAAUCUAUUUGAUUUGGGCAGGACCGUGGUGCUCCAAAGUUGUAUGACUUGCAUUUCCACCUGAAAAAAUUUUUCAAUUGAGCCAUCCAAGGCCUUAAUUUUAUUGGCGUACCUCCAAUUAUUGAAGUAGUCGCAACUAGAGACCUCGGAGCACUUGUGGAUUAGCUUCUCCCCAUCUUUUAAGAUUUGGAUUAACUUCUCCAAUUCCACCCUUGGAUGAUUCGACUGGUCCAUGAACUUUUUCACCUCUACGAUACUAGGAGUUAUGGAAUUGAGUCUCUCUUCGAGUUUUUUGAGGCUGGAGUCGAACUGAGUUAUCUUCUUCCGUGCAUCUAGAACCGCCGUGAUCAACUUCCCAAAUCCUGCUCCCAAAGCAGACCCUCCAACAAGCUCCGCAGACAUCAGUAUCUCCUCACCACAACCCCCAAAAUAAGGAGUUUUGUGUUUGCUAGCUGAGAAAAGUUGUAGGAAACAGAAAAGAAAUCAAGAUACUUGAAUAGAAAACAAGAUCCAAUCUGAGUCCUAGUUUUAAAUUCCCCUCAAAACAAAACAAUAUUACAACAUAUAGAUUCGAAAUCAGACGUUGGUUUCUCCCUUCUCCUACCGUGUUUUGGCUAGUGAGCGAUCUGCAGUUAUUAAGACGAGCAACGACGCGUCUGGAACCUGAAGGUAGCCAAGGAGUUUCCACUGUCCUUCAUGGAAAUUUCGGGUAUCUGCUGUGAUUGACUUUACGUCGACUUGAGAAACGAGAAGGCAAACGCUGUAGUUUUCCUCUAUCUUCUUAUUUCCAUUUUCUGUUUUUAUUUUUUUAAAUAAAAAGAAGGAAUUUUUAUACAAAAACUUACCAUAUAUACCUUUAAAAAUUACCCUUCCAAACCUUAAAAUUUAAUAUAAUAAAAAAAUUCAAUAGCUUGAAUUUUUUAAUCUUUUAUGUUUCUAAAAAUUCCUCUGUUUUAUAUAGAAAGUACUAUUAUUUUUUAUUUUUAAAAUAAAAAAAUUUCCAUUUUUUGUUAUAAAAGUAAAAAAUAGUUGUAACAUCUUUAUAGAAUAUUAUAAGUCUUAAAGUAGCUUUUGAAAUUAUUGUUUUUUUUAAGUCUUAAGUCUAAAAAAAUUCUCCCCUUUUAUGUGGAGCUAUUAUCAUUUUUUAUUUUUAAAAAUAAAAAAUGAGAAGUAUUCAAAAAGACAACUUAAUAAUUCAAUUCUUUGUCUUUAAUUAUUAGUGCUUAUUAAAAUUUAUUUGAAAUUAAAAAAAAAAAAAGCACCUUCGAACUUGGAGCCAUCCCAUGCUAGUAGUGAUAGACAAAAUUAUUAGAUUAUUUAUGGGAUACCAUUCUGUGAACAGACUAAUUACAAGAAAAACGAUCAUUUAAUUUAAAGACAAAUAGCAAGUCUGUGUACCUCGUGACCACAAGAUUAAGCAGACUCCAGGAGGAGAGUUUUUGAAGGUUGGCAAUGGCAUCAACCCCAUCUUUAUCUAUAAGAGCAGUGGCAGGGACUUUCUGGCCUUCAGGAAGGGAGCCCAAGUCCAAAAAACACUCCUUCAGCAUAACAUCCUCGUCAUUUAGGGCGUCUAAGCUACUUUGGAAACAUUUACGCAGAUCAGCUUCGGAAUCGAUAACGGAUUGACCUUCAGAUAAUUUCAUCAGUCGGCUUCUCCAGACCUCUACAGGCUGCGCAUGGAGUGAUCUGCCAACCACUUCCAGGGCCAGUGGAAGUCUCUUGCAGUGUCUCACUAUCUGCGGUUGAGCGCCUGAGCACCAGAACUAACAAAUGAAAUCACUUGUGGUUUGGAGAGAAACAAAAAUGAAUGCAUAUAGAUGAAGUAUAGAUGCAGGUGCGAUAUAUUAAUGUAGAGUGACAAACCCCCUUCCUCACAAGAUCAUUACUCGGUGUGAAAUAACAGCUUCGAAACCACACUCUGCUUUCCCCCCUUUUCUUAGCGUGUUUUGGAGAGUAAGUGACCAGAAAUGACGCAUCUUCAGCCUGAAGGUACACACGAAGUUUCCACUUCUCUUCGUCCAAAUUUUGGGAAUCCAUUGACUUGUGUAGGCUCCAUUGACAAAUGAAUAAAUUAUGAAGGUUUUUCCUCAUAUUUUGUUCCUCUCCCUAAUGUGAACGCUCAAUGCUGCUUACAAUGCCUUGAGAGACUAUGGAGCGGUUGAUGGCUGGCUUUUUUAUUUUAUUUUAUUUUAUUUAUUUAUUUUUUGACAUCCACAACAAAUUGGGAAAAAAAACCCUUAAUGUAGUUUUUAUUACCAUAACAUUUCCAUGUGGGUCAUAACUCAUAUGUACUUUUUAUGACCAUACCUGAUACCUCCAACCAGAUGGUACGAAUUCCAUGCACAUAACAUUUAAGAUAUGUUUAUUUUUACAAAACUUUAAUUAGUUUACAACUUUUAUAAAAGUACUUAUUAAAUGCAAGGAUGAAAGUUUCCAUUUUUUUCGCGGAAAUUUCACCGAAAUUUCGGGUUUCGGUGGCCGGCGAUACAAAAGAGGGGGGCGAAAUGUGGACGGGAGAAAUUUCGCCAAAUUUCUAUUAAAAUCGGCGAAAAAAUCACCGAAACAUGGCUGCAAGCAAAAAAUCGGUGAAAUUUCGGUUUGCAUCGCCGAUUUUUCGGGAAAUUUCCCGAUAUUUCCUACCAGUUCAGCCCGCACACAGGAUACAAAAUCUGUCCAAUUUUUAUUUUUUUUAAAAAAAAAAAACAUAAGAUGUUCCUUGGUAAUCUGAUCAUGACUUGCAGGCAAAGGUUGUUUUUCAGCCUGGCUCAAAAAUCGUGGAUUUAGGGUUCGUGAAAUUUAAAUCCAAUGGCACAAAAGCAAAGCGACCCUAGAACAGAUCAGAAAACACGGGGAGAAAAAAAAAACAAUUUUUUUUUGUUUUCCUUGAGGGUUUUGCAUGGAUUUUCUCGGAAAUCAAACGAGGAUGAAUUUUCCCCGAAAUUGAAUGGGGGAUGGAUUUUCCCGGAAAUUGAAUGGGGGAUGGAUUUUCUUGGGAAUCAAAUAGGGGUUGCAAAAAAAAAAAAAAAGUAAUAAAUGAUUAGAUUAGAACCUGCGAGGAUUGAGAGUGAAAGAGGAAAUUGGGGCCGAUUCUCUCGUACGGAGGGCAGCUUCAGCCAAGGGCUUUUUGAUGCCCGAGUGAGAGAAGCGGGUCUUCAGCAAAGGGCUUUUCGGAUGGGUGGCCUUUUGAUUUUUUAAAAAUUUAGUAGAGAUAACAAAAAAAAUGGAAACAAAUCAUGACUCCAUGGUGAUGGUCCAAAGUGAAUUUGGAUGUGAUCCAAGGAUCCAAAGUGAACCCCAACUAUGCGAUAAUAUAUACAAAUUAUUGGUAUUUAAUGAAAUCAAGUUAAUAUAUAUAAAUUAUUUAUAUUUAAUAAAAUCAAAUUUUUUAUGAAGCUUGAUAAUAAAUGCAUAAUUAUAAAAUUCAUAUUUUUUAUUGACCCACAUAAUAUAAUUACAUAUAAUAUCGUAAAUCAUAUAAUAUAUAUAUCAAAUUAUUCAACAAAAUAAAUUUAAAUUAUCUAUUAUACUUCUAAUUACAUUGUUAUGAGGUUUUUUUUUACAUUUUUAUGAGUUUUGAUCAAUUUUUUGCCUAUCAAAAUUUUUUUUCCAAAAUAUCCGUCGAUAUUUCUCCGAUAUAUCCGUAAAAUCAAGUUACCGAUAUAUUCAUGAUUACCGAUAUUUUCAUCCUUGGUUGCUACUAAUUAUAUGGUAUAAAAUUAUAACAUUAAGACUUUGUGAAAAAAAAUCAUUUAUAAAUAAAUUAAAAUAGUUAAAAAAUUAAAUUGGUAAUCUAUCAAAUAAUAACCGAAAAUUAUAUUAUUAAUUUUUUUUAUUAUAAUUUCCAUUUUUUAUGGAGAAUAUUGGAUGAAAUAUUGAAAGUAUUUUUUGAAGAAUUUUUUUUUAAAAAUAAGACAAUCAUGUAAAAUUUGAAGGGUAUAAAAAGUACCAAGUGAAAAAGUUAUGAUCAUUGUGAUUAGGAUGCCUAAGUAAUAUUAGAGCUACUAGAAGUGGAAAAAAAAUUAAUUAAAAAAGUUGAAAAUUUUGGAAAUUAAAAUUAAAAGAGGAUUCUCCACAUUUUUCAUGCCCUAAUGAACUUCUAAGUAUUUUAACCUUUUAAUUUAUUUUCAUAAAUUCCAUCAAUGUUAAGCGUAAUUAGUGUGCAUAAAUAAUAUCAUAGCCAUUUGAAGUGAAAAAAAAAAUCAAAUUAAAAAAAUUACAAAAUUUAGAGGGCAUGAAGCUUCCCCAAUUUUUAAGUAUUUCCAAAUUUUAAAUUUUUGUGCAUAAUUUCAUCAAUUGUAAGUGUGAUUAGUUUUUUAAAUAAUAUUAUUGGAAAUGGAAAAGAAUUUUAAAUUUUCCAAAAAGUGAAAAUUUUCACAUUUUUCAUGCCCUUCUCAAUUUUUAAGUAUUUUUAAGUUUUAAUUUUUGUGUGCAUAAUUUCCAUUAAUCUUAAGUGUAACUAGUAUUUUUAUAUAAUAUUAUAGCUAUUGCAAGUAGAAUUUAAAAAAAAAAAUUUCACAAAAGUACAAAAUUUGGAGGGUACAAACCUCACACUCUUAGUAUUCUCCUCAAAUUUCUCAUAUUUUCAAGUUUUAAUUUUAUUUUAUUUUUGUAUAAUUUCCAUUAAUUCCAAAUUGUAGUUAGUGCUUUUAAAUAAUAUUAUAGCUAUUGGAAGCAGAAAUUUUGUUUAAAAAUUCCAACAAAUGGAAGUUAAUAAUUGUUGUUUCUCAACCUCAUUUUGAUAUCAAAACUUGCAUUUUCUUCAAAUCGAUUGAGAUAUAUAGGAAUUGGUUGAGUCGGAAUGGUUCAACUCGUCAAGGGGGCCAAAUGUCCUCCUAAGGUCUAGAAGGCAAUUUUAAUUGAUUAAGUUUGAGCCUCAAUUAGUCAAGGAUGGAUUGAAUUGGUAGAUUAACUGGUUAAACUCCUAUGACCUAAUGAUCACCUACAAUUCUUCAAUGGCUAGUAGUAAGAUUUAACUAGUUGGAUGAUCAAGCAACCCCAAAUUUUUUCCAACGACAAGUUUAGGCUUCUAACCCAUGUUUAAAGGUUCUAAACUUCUUGUAUUGAAUGAGGAGUUAUGUGUUUGAUUGCAUUUUGCUUCAAAACUUACAUUUCGUCUUAGGACACCUCUCAAUCCUAGUUUCUUUGUAUUCAAUUUAAGCCAAAACUAUUAACUAGGAUCUUAUUUAUGUUUCAUUUGUAUACCUUGUGAGGAUAUCUAUUGUAGGAUCAUUGGAGGACUCAAGAGUAGGGUAUCUUUUGAGAGGGUUCAUUGGAACCAUAAUCCAAGGGAGAUAGUUUGGAGACUUUGGUUUUAAAAGUCUUAUGGUCAUAAAGGAUCCCUUAAAGCCACAAUCCAAGGGCAAAACUUGAAGGCUUUGGUUGGAAGUAUUGUUAGCGGAACACUUAAUGUUGAAGCUUGAGAAAAGUGGAUACAGGUUGGGUUGCAUUAAACUACUAUAAAGGCCCAUGCUUGCAUUUUUCUAUUCGUUAUCUCUAUCUACUUUUAUAUGCAAUUGCUCCUCCAUUAUAUUUUCUUUCUUAUAUUCAUUUACACAUAAUCCUAACAAUAAGUUUAUAAAUACGAGAAGCAUCAUUACCAUCGUAAUAUGUUUGAACCACAACAUCCCAUUGAAUUCAGAAGUCAUGAAAUUAACAUGAUAUUCUAUUUUUCUCAAAUAGAGAUUAGAAGUUAUUCGUGCAUAUUAAGGUUUUAAAAAUUGCACUGAAACGACUAGACCGUUGACCUAUCCAAUUCGAUUAGCUUAAUUGAGUAGCUUAUGAGUUAAAGUAGUGUUCAAUUGUUCGAACUAGACAAAUUGGUAUGUUCUCUAAGAAUCAAUCAAGUCUUAUUUGACCCAAAAUGAUAAUGUGUAAUUGCACCUUUUGGCCCAAUAAUGCUAGCAACCUACCACUGCUUAUAUUUGUUGUAAUGUGUCUAUACAACCUAUCAAUUUCAUAUUCUUAUGCAUGAGAUUGCUUAUAAGGUGCGAAUUUUUUUUCUUUUUUUUUGCGUUAGCAAGACUUGAGCCACGAGAUAAUUGAACCAUUGAACUAUGAGAUCACUUUAUUAGAUAUUGCUAUAAAAUAUAAUACACACACAUACAUACGCUAUAUAUAUAAACAAACAUAAAUAUUUACCUUCACAUUUAAUUUUAUAAUGGUAAGUAUGAAAAUAAUAUAAGUUAAAUAAUAAACUAAUUUCUUAAAAUUAUAAAAUAAUAAGAUAUAUAACUUUUGAAAUGUAGAUAAAAUUAAAAAUUAUAACUUUUCUUUCAUCUUAAAUAUAUUUUUACACUUAAAUACCAUACAUGUUUUAUUUAAUAAAAUUAAAAAUAUUAAUGCAUUUACUUUAUUUUUCUCAUUUAAUUUAACAACAUCUAAUAUAAAAAUGAAAUAUUAUUAAAAAAAUUUAGAUUAUAUAUAUUCUUUUGAUUGUGAUUCAAACAAUGAUCUAACCAUUAAACCAUCGAUGAAUAAUGUUUCCUAUUCAAUCACUUAUCUAAUUUUGAAAUAAGAUCAUUACAAAUAAUUGUUUCGUAACACAAAGGAUCAAAUAAAAUAAAAUCUAAACGAAAAUAUAAAAACCUUAAGGAUGAAAAUCUCUGAACAUACAUGUGAGUGUUUUACUUAGAUUGACAAUUUUAGGUGAAAACUUCUAAGUAUUCUCCCAACUCAGGUCUAUCAAAUCCUUCAUUGAACUAGUUAUUGUAAGUGUUUAGAGGUUAAGGUAUGUAGUCGGGGUUGUGAUAUGGAUGAAAUUAAACCAACAAAGUUUUUCAAAUUAAUGAAAAUCUUUUAAAGAAGCUUUGGGAGACUUGGGCAAACAUAUUUUUGGAUAAGCAUUUUUGUGCCAUGUUCCAAGAUCGAUCCAAAUUUAUGUAGGAUCAAUUUAUUUUUUAUUGAAUCAUUUUUCAGUCAUUGGAUCAGGAAUACUUCAACUUAUUUAAAUAAAUAUUUCUAUUUUAGGGAGUGGAGAACACCAACAACUGUUUUUCUCACUCCCUUUGAGGUCUAAUCCAAAUUGGAAGUGUUUGGUUGCCAAGAAAAUUCUCCUUUGAUUUCCAAGUCAGUUUUUUGAAAAAUGGUUGAUUAAUUUCUUCCAUUCAUCUCUUGUGUUCUUGUUGAUUUGGGUUUGAAUGAAAACCUAUUUUCUUCUUCUAAAGAUUCAAGAAAAAAUUAAGAUUGAGUUUAGUGUGGACUCCAAGUGUGUUUUAGAAGAAGAAGGUGUGAAGUUGAAGUUGGAAGAUGUUGAUCAAGUAGUUCAAGCAGGAUAUGUAGACUUAAAUUAAAUAAAACCUUGUACUGAGUUAGUUUUUCUUCGUAGCAGAUGUUCUUGAUUUCUUGUAGGCCUAUAGUUUUUUAUCUUUAUUGAUAUUUUGUCAUAUUAAAUUUUGGUGUCAUUACUUUAUUCUCUAUCUCUUCAUUAGUUCAUUUUCUUUGUAUUUAUCUUUGCUAAAAAAAUUAUCAUAUUUUAAUAAGUAUAUGUAUAAAGAAUUUGAGCUAAAGUUUGAUUGUAUAUUCCUUGAAAAAGAUGGGUAAUUUCCAAUUUUGUUUUUAUCAAAAGUAAAGAAUAUUUAAGUUUGUGAAUUGUGUAGUCCAACAUUAAUAUAAUUCUUGAUUGGAAAAUGUUGUUCCAUUAAUACGUGAUUUGCAUUUAUUUUACUUAUUGAUAGAGUGUUAUGCAUGUAAGAAAUAUUUAGGUGGUGUUUGUUUUUUUACUUAAUUCUAAAUAGAACCUUAAUAUUUAAUAAUGUUAAAUAUUAGGUUGUUUGUUUUUGUAGUAUUUUAUUUCUAUUAAGUAUUAAAAAAUAUAAAAAAAUCAAUAUAUUAUUUUUUCUAUUUAAAAAAAACUACAUAUUUUAACUUUUUCUAUUUAGUAAAAAGUUUAUAAUAAGUUAUGAAAAAGUAGAAAACAAACAAUCUAAAUUCUAAAACUAAAUUGCUUUCAACAAAAAGCCAAAAAAACAAGCAUCACCUUAGUAAAAGAAUUGAUAGAAAAAAUAAAAACAAAAAAUUCUAAAUAGGGGGAAUGAUUGUUAGGAGACUCCCCCUCUUCUAGAAGGUUUUGAUAUGCCUUGCUGUAAUCGGAAUUUCCAAGUUAAGAAAUGCAAACGAAUCCAUUUUCGAUCUUUGUGGUCAGUGAACUUCAUAGGUCAAUACAAGCCUGCGCCUUGGCCAACCCUAAUCAAUAUCAAGUCCCGUUUUAAACCAACCUCCAGCCGGAUUCAAUUUUAGUGUGAAAAAAGUUCACACGAAAUUUCCCUUAAUGCGAACAAAAGUUGGCACUGAGGACGGGUGCAGGAAAAUGCAUUCCUUGAUUGAAGCCCGAACCAAAUAUGACAAACAGCCGAUGAAUUAUGAUACCACAGAUUCUUGUAAAUAUUACUAGAUUUCAUAAGUCGAACAUUGUUUGGAUAUAAUUAGGCGUCCGGUUCAACACUUUGGAGGAUGAAAGUUUUUCGGAAACCAGUAUUUUAAAGCCAAUUCAAGUUGAUAAUUUCUUCAGGCACUGAUAGGGUGAGAUUGGGGAGCAAGUGCGUAUAACAUUCCCACAGCUGGGCAGUCUCUUCAUCGCAGAUUACCCUCUCCAAAUCCACGAGAAGCGUCACUGAUGGUGGCAGCUCGCGCAAACCUGGGCACCUUCUCAUGUGGAGCUCUCUUAGACCACGCAACUCCCCUAUUUGUUUCGGCAUUUUCCUUAUUCGUAAACAACCAGUUAUAUCAAGAACGCUCAACUUGUGGAGGCUUCCCAUUGAGUCUGGCAAUUUUGACACCAAUGUACAGGCACUAACCCUUAGCACUUCCAGAUUUGCAAGCUUCCCUAUCCCUUCCGGCAGUGCAGACAGCUUAUGGCAGUUGCUGAUGCUCAGCUUAUUCAGCUGGACUAAGUCACAAAACCCUUCUGGUAAUUCCACCAAGUCAUUACAGUAAUCAAUGUUGAUUUCCCUAAGGUUUGGUAACAUUUCUGGGAUCUGGAUGGUACUACUUGCAAAAGCCUGACCAAUCUUAUGACACAUGACUAAGGAUAGCUUUUCCAGAUUCUUCAAUUCCAUACUCGUGUUGCAUAGUGUUGGAAUUGAAACUUGCUCUAACCUGAUUCUCUUUAGAUUGGAUAAGGAACUGAGAACUGAAAAAUUAGUCAAUUCAGCAGCACAGAAACCAUAAUUUGUUACUACUAGAACCUUCAGUUUAUCCAUUUGCUUCAUGAACUCUGGCAAUUCGUAUUUAUUUUCUGUCUGAUUGAAGUUCAGUAUUAGAGCCUCAGCUUCAGGAAGUUGCAUGUUGCACCAGCUUGAGGAGAACAUUUCAUCUACAGAAUAUCCUAUAAAGUGUCAGAAGGUAGGGAAAGAAGUAAUGCCAAAUACUGUAUGAAAUAUUAGAUUCCAAUUAUGAGAGAUAGAAAGAGAGAGAGAGGGGGGACCUGUGGAGAUGGACACAAGACGAGCACUUAAUUGGGGCUGAUUUUCUUUAGUCCACCACUCGGGGAGUCUGUUUCCUGUCAAGUCCACGAUUAGUCUUUUCCUCUUUUCUAUGGGCUCCUGGUUGCUCUGAUAAAUGGCUAGAUCCCUGAGAAGAUCAUGCUGCAUGACAAAGGCAUCAUUGUAGCACCAAUCAAUCUCAUUUGCAUCAUUCCUGGACAACCCGCAGACAUUGGUUAGAGCGAUAUUAUGGAUUGAAGAAUAUAAUUGCAAAUCAAGAAAUAUAAGUCUUAUUUUGUUUUUGUGUUCAUGUGAUUUGACCAUCUCCAAAACAAAUGGGGUAAAAAUUGCAGAAAUUAGUAGGAGUUCCCCCUUCAAUGCUAGCGUUAAUAGAUUUCUUUUCUCUUAGUGAUUGUAAUAGAACAUUACUAAUUGUAUAAAAUGCUGAUACACAAAAUUAUAAGAUUAUCAAGAGAAAAAGGAAAAAAGGUUAUUACUUUAAAGACAAAUAGCAAGCCUGUGUACCUUGUGACCACAAGAUUAAGCAGAUUCCGAGAGCAGAGUUUCUGAAGGUUGGAAAUGGCAUAAAUGCCGUCUUUAUCUAGUUUGUGCAAUUCCGCCCACAUAUCUAUAAGAGCAGUGGCAGGGAUUUUUUGGUCUUCAGGAAAUGAGCCCAAGUCCAUAAAACACUCCUUCAGCAUAAUAUCCUUGUCAUCAAGGGCAUCUAAGCUACUCUGAAGACAAUUACGCAGUUCAUCUUCAGAAUUGACAAUGGAUUGACCUUCAGAUAAUUUCAUCAGUGUGCUUCUCCAGAUCUCUACAGGCUGCCCAUGGAGCGAUCUGCCAACCACUUCCAGGGCCAGUGGAAAUCCCUUGCAGCGCCUCACUAUCUGCAGUUCAGCGCCAGCAUCAAAUAAGAUUAGUUCUGGUUUGCAGGGAAACAAAAAUGAAUGCAGGUGUGAUAAAUUAAUGUAGAGUGAGAAACCACCGUAUUCACAAGGUCUUCACCGGGCAUGGAAGAACCACUCCCAUCCUCAGGGAUUGCUGAAUGACGGAAAAGAGUCUUGGCAUCUUCUUCACUCAACAAUUUCAAGUUAUAUGUAGAACCAAAUUUUGGAAAUUCAUUUCUAGAUGUAAUCAGAACCUUGCAUCCCGAUAUUUGGAAGUUAAACUUGGUUAGGAAAGAUUCCGACCCAGACCAAACGUCAUCUAGGACCAACAGUAGACGACCAGAUUCUACUUUCCUCUUCAGCAUUAGUUCCAAUUGGUUGACUGCAUCUUCCUCAUUUUGAAACCCCGGCACUUGUUCAUCACUAUGCCAAAAUAGUUUCUUGAUGAUGCCAAUUAGGUUGAAUGUUUUUGACACCGUGACAUAGAAAAUGUGCUGAAAAUAUUCUGUUCAAAAUGGUAGAAAGAAGUGAUUUAGAAAUGAGUUCAUACAAUAUUUCAUUAGACCAAAAAAGAAGUUGUUUGGAUGAAUUUCACUUGUAUACCAUGGAAUAUUUCGUAUUUGGUUUACUAACAUGAAGGGAAAGAAAAGAAAGCAAGAUUUUGUAGGAAUACCCUUGACUUGUUGGUCGUGACAAAGCCUUUUAGCCAAAGUGGUUUUCCCACAUCCUCCAGGAGCCGACACCACAAUCCUUGAUUCCCCAUCCGUAAACAGCCACCUCUUCAAUUCUUUGAGAGGCACAUCUAGUCCCACCAUAAAAGCCGGCGGAUCAGUAGCCUCACAGGAACCCAGACUUUCAUAUUUAACGGAAACCCCUUUGUUACUCCAACUGAAUCUAUUUGAUUUGAGCAGGACCAGAAUCUGCAUGUUGUUCCUACUGAGUUGGGCUUGCAAUUCCACCUGAAAAAUUUUAAGAAGAGAGUCCUCCAAGGCCUCGAUUUCAUUGGCGUACCUCCACUUCUUGAAGUAGUUGCAACAAGAGACCUUGGAGCACUUGUGGAUUAGCUUCUCCCCAUCUUUUAAGAUUUGGAUCAACUUCUCCAUGUCCUCCUUUGAACGAUCCAACUGGUCGUUCAUCCUUUUCAUCUCUAGGAUACUUGGAUUUAUGGAUUUGAGUGUCUCUUCGAGUUUUUUGAGGCUGGAGUCGAACUUGGUUGCCUUAGUCCUUGCAUCUUCAACCGCCGCGAACAACUUCUCAAACACUGCUCCCAACGCAGCCCCUCCAACAAGCUCCAAAGCCAUUAGUAUCUCCUCACUACAACCCCCAAAAUUAGAAGGAGUUUUGUGUUUGCUAGAGGAGAAAAGUUGUAGGAAACAGAAGAAAUCAAGAUACUUGAAUAGAAAACAAGAUCCAAUCUGAGCCCUAGUUUUAAAUUCCCCUCAAAACAAACCAAUAUUACAACAUAUAGAUUCGAAAUCAGACGUUGGUUUCUCCCUUCUCCCACUGUGUUUUGGCUAGUGAGCUCUGGAACUUGAAGGUAGCCAAGGAGUUUCCACUGUACUUCAUGGAAAUUUUGGGAAUCCACUGUGGUGGACUUUAUGUAGACUUGAGAAAUGAGAAGGCAAACCCUUUACCUACUGCUUCACUCAUGCUCUUCCUUAAAUCAAUAUUCUAGACUUCUAGUAUGCAUUAUCCGUACAACUUAAGAGGGGCGCACGCCAUAAUCUUAGUGGGGGACACAAUGACACAUUACUCCCUCAAAUUUUCAAAAAAUAAAACUUUUCUUAUAUUUAUUUAGAAAUUUUAUAAUAUUGAAAAAAAAGUAAAAAUGCAAAUUUGCCCCUCUAAGAAAUUAAUUUUGUGUGUAAAAAAAAAAUAGAUAAGUAUGAAUAUCAAAUAGAUUUUAUAAAAUAUUUUUUAAAUUUUUAUUUAAUAUUUAUAAAAUUAAAUUUAUUAUAAAAUAAAUUUAAAUAAAAAUAAAUUUUUUAUAAUUUUUUAUUUAAUAAUAUGUUUUUGUUGGUUUUGUUUGAUUUUGAUAUUUUUUAAAUGUUUUGACUUUUAUGUUUAAUCAAAUAUUUGCUAAUUUGCAAAUAAUUACACAUUAUUCAAUAUAUAUUAUUUAAUUAUUGAUAAAUUUUAAUUUUAUUUAAAUAUUUGAUAUUUUAUCAAAUAUAUUUUUUAUCUUAAGUUUUAACAAUAACUUUAUAUUCAUUUGCAACUUUUAAAUUAAAAUUUUAUCACUAUCAAGCCUUAGUUAUUUAAAAAAAAAAUCUAAUAAAUUUAUUAGUGAAAUUAUAAAUUAUUUUAAAAUUUUCUCUACAAAAAACAUUUUUUAAAAUUAUUAAAAAUGUUUUAACAAGAUUUUUUUACUAUUUUUAAAAAAAAAUUACAAAUAUUAUUUGAAUUUUCUGAUAAACUUUUUAAUAAAAUCAAAAACUCUCUUUUCAACAUUUCAAAUAUUUUUGUUAAUUAAUUUGAUAUGUUAUAAAUUCUUCUUUCCUUUUAUAAUUAAUAUUAAUAAUUAUUUAUUUUAUUGAAUGAUGCCACCAACACCAUUUCUAAAAAAUAAAAAAUUAUCUAUAUUUAUUCUAAUUCAUAACUUUUCUAGACUUUUAGUCCAAAGAAAAUGUACGGAAUUCAACAUAUAAAAAUUAUCUUUAUAAUAUAUUUAAAAACAUAAAAAAUAAAUUAAAAAUAUUUCAAAUUCUUAAAUUGACUUUUGUUUAAAAAAAAUCAUAAAACAUUUAAAAACACAUUUCAAAUAGAAUCUUACUUUUCAUUUUCUAUUUUUGUUUUUAAAAUAAUUUUUAAAAUAAAAACAAGGAUUUUUUUUAUACAAAACUUAUCAUAUACCUUUAAAAAUUACCUUUCCAAGCCUUAAAAUUUAAUAUAAUAAAAAAUUCAAUAGCUUGAAUUUUUUAAUCUUUUAUGUUACUAAAAAUUCCUCUGUUUUAUAUAGAAAGUACUAUUAUUUUUCAUUUUUAAAAUAAUAAAAAAUCCAUUUUUAGUUAUAAAAGUAAAAAAAAAUAAAAAUAAUUGUAACAUCUAUAGAAUAUUGUAAGUGUUAAAAAUUUUUAGAGUAUAGUCUAAAAAAAUUCUCCCCUUUUAUAUGAAGCUAUUAUCAUUUUAUAUUUUUUUAAAUAAAAAAUAAGAAGUAUUCAAACAGACAACUUAAUAAUUCAAUUCUUUGUCUUUAAUUAUUAUUAGUGUUUAUUAAAAUUUGUUUGAAAUUUAAAAAAAAAAAAAAGCACACUGUAAAUACGAAGAAAUGAUGAAGAAAACCCAGAUGAAGAAGGCAAACUUGAGAGGAAAUACAAGGGAAAGUGCAAAAAGGCAUCGCUGUAGCAUCCAUCAAUCUCGCUUGCAUCAUUCCUGGUGAAGUCCAUAAAACAUUCCUUCGGCAUAAUAUCCUCGUCAUUUAGGGCGUCUAAGCUACUUUGAAGACAUUUACGCAGAUCAGUUUCAGAAUUGACAAUGGAUUGACCUUCGGAUAAUUUCUUCAGUCGGCUUCUCCAGAUCUCUACAGGCCGCCCAUGGAGUGAUCUGCCAACGACUUCCAGGGCCAGUGGAAGUCCCGUGCAGUGCCCCACUAUCUGCAGUUGAGCGCCACUAACAAAUGAAAUCACUUGUGGUUUGGAUAGAAAAAAAAUAAAUGCAUAUAGAUGAAGUAUACGUGCAGGUGCGAUAUAUUAAUGUAGAGUGACAAGCCACCUUCUUCACAAGCCUAUCAGUCGGUGUGUAAUUACAGCUUCCAUUCUGGGGGAUUGCUGAGUGACGAAAAANNNNNNNNNNNNNNNNNNNNNNNNNNNNNNNNNNNNNNNNNNNNNNNNNNNNNNNNNNNNNNNNNNNNNNNNNNNNNNNNNNNNNNNNNNNNNNNNNNNNNNNNNNNNNNNNNNNNNNNNNNNNNNNNNNNNNNNNNNNNNNNNNNNNNNNNNNNNNNNNNNNNNNNNNNNNNNNNNNNNNNNNNNNNNNNNNNNNNNNNNNNNNNNNNNNNNNNNNNNNNNNNNNNNNNNNNNNNNNNNNNNNNNNNNNNNNNNNNNNNNNNNNNNNNNNNNNNNNNNNNNNNNNNNNNNNNNNNNNNNNNNNNNNNNNNNNNNNNNNNNNNNNNNNNNNNNNNNNNNNNNNNNNNNNNNNNNNNNNNNNNNNNNNNNNNNNNNNNNNNNNNNNNNNNNNNNNNNNNNNNNNNNNNNNNNNNNNNNNNNNNNNNNNNNNNNNNNNNNNNNNNNNNNNNNNNNNNNNNNNNNNNNNNCGGAACUUGAACUUGGCUAAGAGGGAUUCUGAUCCACACCAAACAUCAUCUAGGACCAACAGUACAUCACCGGAUUCUUCUUUCUUCUUCAGUUUCAGUUCCAUUUGAUUGGCUGCAUCUUCCUCAUUUUGAAACUUUGGCACUCGUUCAUCCUCGUCCCAAAAUAGUUUCGUAAUGAUGGCAAUUAGGUUGGGCGGUCUUGACACCGUGGCAUACAAAAUGUGCUUAAAAUAUUCUGUUCAAAAUAGGAGAAUGAAGUGAUUUAGCAAUGAGUUGAUUUCAUAUGUUACAUGGGUUUGGGUGCGGAACAAUGUCUAGGUUGUGUCAGAUCAUAUACUUCCCAAAAUUUUAGGAUAAGGGAUGAAUUUUUCAAUCUUUUACAAUUAAUAACCACAUCUUAUUUUCUAAAUUUCUAAAGCUUUUAUGUAUUAAUUUUAUAUUCAUUGUUAUAAUUGAUCAUUAAAUUUUUUAAGAUAUUAAGUUUGGUAUUUAUAAAUUUUAUAUAAUAUUAAUCACUAUAUUAUCUUUAAAUUUUAUUUAUUAUAGUUUUAAAAGAAAUUAACAAAAAAGAUAAAAAGGUUGGCUCGAAAUAAAUUUUAAAUUUCUUUAUUUUUUAUUAUAAUAUAUUUUAUAUUAUUAUAUAAGUAUAAUUUUUUUUAAAAAAAAUUAAGCGUUCAAUUAUAAAAAUAAAAAAUUAAAAAAUUAAAAUUAAGUAGAAGAUUUAAAAAAAAAGGAAAUAAAUGAAGCAAUCUAAAAGUAAAUUAAAAAAAAAAAGAUUUUGUAUGAAUACCUCUGACUUGAUUGUCGUGACAAAGCUCUUUAGCCAAAGUGGUUUUCCCACAUCCUCCAGGAGCCCUGAUCACAAUCCUUGAUUCCCCAUCCUCACAUAGCAGCCGCUUCAAUUCUUUGAGAGGCACAUCUAAUCCCACCAUAAAUUCCGGUGGACCAGGAGCGUUGCAGGAACCCAAGUUUUCAUGUUCAUCGGAAACCCCUCUGUAAUUCCAAUUGCAUCCAUUUGAUUUGAGAAUGGCCAGAAUCUCCUUGACGUCCCUACUGACUUGGGCGUGCACAUCCACCUGAAACAAUCUAAGAAGAGAGGCAUCGAGGGCUUUAAUUUUAUUGGCGUACCCUAUCCUCUGGUAGCAGUAGCAGCGAGAGCAGUCUUGGAUUAGCUUCUCUCCAUCUUGCAAGAUUUGGAUCAACUUCUCCAUUUCCAUCCUUGGACGAUCCAACUCGUCGUUCAACCUUUCCAUCUCUUGAAUAUAUGGCUUUAUGCGUUCGAGUGUGGCUUCGAGUUUUUUGAGGAUGGAGUGGAACCCGGCAAACUUUUUACUUACUUUUAUGACCGCCGUUAGCAAACCCUGAAAUGCUGCUCCCAGACAGCCCCUUCAACAAGCGCCAAAGCCAUCGAUAUCUCCUCACCACAACCCCCAAAAUCAGAAGGAGUUUUGUGUUUGCUAGCUAAGAAAGUCGUAGGAAACAGAAAAGAAAUCGAGAUAACUGGUCAGAAAACAGGAUUCAAUCUGAGCCUGGAUUUUAAUUGGGAAAGUUAGAUUUUGGGUGGGUGACGUGGAAAAUAUAUGAUUUUGAUAACCCAAUUUUACGUAUUUCUAAAUUAAUAAUGUAAUUAGAAAAUAUUAGGAGAAUCAUCCACUUUCAGCUUAUGUGUAUUUUAAUGCCAAAAAUACCCUUCACCUUGCCAGCUAAGCGUUCCACAUCUGAAAAUUCAGAAGAGAAAAAACCCUCCGAAAAGCCACAAAGUCAAUAUUUCUCUCAUAUACUGCUUUUCCCCUUCUCUCUCCCAUUCUCAAUCUCAGAAACCCAAAAUGCUGUAAAACCUAAACUCUUUCAUUUCUGUAACAUUCUCGUCUCCCAUUUUGUUGAUAAAGAUCAACAGCCCAAAACCUAACUUUCCCAAAAAAAAGUUAUAAUGCUGCGGAGGAGAAGAAUUUAUCAGGUUGAUGUGUUGGUAAAUGAGAAACGAAUCAGAAGGAAGAGACACGGGACUACGGGAGGAAACCGGGAAAGGUGAUAUCCUUUUUGUUCCCAAAUUACUUGAUCCAGAAACCCUAAUUUCUGAAAUGAANNNNNNNNNNNNNAAAAUUGGGAUUGGAAUCAAUGGUGGGUGCAUCGAGCUCAUGGUCUCGCGCACUGGUUCAGAUCUCACCUUACACCUUCUCCGCCAUCGGCGUUUCCGUCUUGGGUGCCGCUUGGUACUUUCUUUUCCCUUCCUCCCUUGUAAAAUCCACUAAAAGAAAACAACUACUAAAAUUUUUGCAUUCUUGUCAAACCAACGGAGGUUUAGGUUAAAUUGAUACAUUAUAUUUGUUUUUUUUUUUUUUUUUCUUUUUGUUGGAUCGUUGUUUUGAUGGUUGCGUUAUUGCUGCAUUUUUAAGGGAAUUUAUAUAACUAGAAGUAGUUUAAUUGGUGUUGCCAUCAAAGCUCCUCGGAUUACUUCAAAAAAUCUGAUCAGUUGAGUACUUCAACUUUCUUUCUUUCUUUCUUUUUUUCUCGCUGGUUUUAUGGAUCAUUGAUGUGGUAUUACAUGGACUGGCUUAUUUAUGAGAGGUAACUGACAACUUCCAUGUGUAAAAAAAAUUGAAUUAUGCCACCACUUACUAGAUUGUCCGGGCAUAGGUUACAUGGUCGUAGGAUAAGCUGAUACGCCUAUUUACCAUCAAUAUCAAUGAGUGUCAAUUCUGAAAUCUUACUGAACAUACAUUUGGACAAAUCAAUAUCAAUAUUUCAGUAUGGUUCAUGUUGAUAUUCUAUAAUAUUAUUGGUAUUCCUCAUUUACUUUGAUGAGCUGAAGAUUUUUGUGCUCAUUUCCAUAGCAAUACUUGCUUGUUUUGAGCUUAAUUUGAAGACUCAUUCAAGAUUGAUGCUAAAUUCACAAAGUUCCGGCACUAUAGAAUUGUAGUAGACUUGUGUUUUUUUUUUUUUUUCAUUUGGAUUACAGCCUGUUUGUUUCUUUGGAUUAUUCCAGCUACUUCAAUGUGUUGGAAUUCAUUAAUAUUGAAACCCUAGUGCUUUUUUAGCGGCCAUUUAUUCUUUUUUUUUUUUUGUCUCUUGCAUUGUAGAUAUGUGCCUAGUGGAGUGAAGGCAGGUUCUUAUUAUAAGUUUUUAUGCAUCUUUGAAAUUCUUGUUUUUCUCUGUCAUCCAAGAUGGGUACUUGUUGAUUGUUUAAGUACUUGAUGUAUUAUCAUCUGUGGUAUGCAUCCUCUUAGAAGGUAUAAGGUCUCUGAAAGGAAGAAAUAAAGUAAUGAAGAAUAUGCAUAAAGCUUCUGGUCAUAGCAGUUAAAACAUCUAUUGAAAUAGGUCCAGAACUAUAUUUCAAACUAUAAUUCCCUUUGUACUUCAUCUGAAGUUGAUGUUAGACAAUACAAUGCCUGUAAUUGGAAUAAUAAGAACUUCUUAAUUUCUUUGGUUUUAUAGCCCCUAGUCGUGAUUUGAAGGGAAUAUGAUCACAAGUUAUUAUAAUCAGUUUCUGAUAAAAAUUGAGACGUGGACAAAAUAAGUUAGAAAAAUAAAUAAUAAUAAUAUUAAAGUGGCCGAAUACCAAAAAUAGCAGGAAGAAGAAAUAGAGGAAAAGAAAAUUAUUAAGAAUAAAUUGACAAAGUCUACACAAGCUUAAAGUGGUUGAAUACCAUGCUGAAAAAUUGCAUGAAGAAGAAAUAGAGGAAGAGAAACAAGAACAGAGCAAACUCCUUCACAGUUUUAUCAAAUAAACAAUCUAGUCUAUUUGAUGUAGAGCAUGUUAACAAGAAAGGAGCAAAUUUAUUUGUUGGGAAUACUUUUUGUGAAUAAUUGCAAAUCCAGGGUUAUGAUAAAAGGAAUGAUGAUGGUGCGAGUUUUGGUCCAUAUAAACAAAGGAGUAUGGCUAUAGCCUGUGCUAGCCAAUAAUUUGGCAAAACCCCUGUAAGGGUUCCACACAUUUGAGACAUAAAUCUGUGUAUGGCCUAUUGGAUUUCAAAUCAGGGUUUGACUUGAAAUCAUUGGAAAGUGCUUGAAAUUGAGAAGAUGGUGUCUUUGGUUGUAUUUGAUUGGGUUCUAAGCAUUAGGAUUAUGGAAAGUGAAUUAGGAAUGCUGAGGAUUGAAAGGAGUUGAAGAGGUUGUCGUGCAGCCAUAGAAUGAGGCAUGGCAGAAAAGAAAGAGGAUGAGGAGGGUUUUGAGAAUGCACCCAGGGUAGUAAAAGGGUGGUAAGAGGUCCAGAGGAAGAAGAGGUGGAAAUGUUGUAUAUAUGCCAAGUUCAUUUAAGCUAUCAGGGAAUCAGCCCUUAGGGCAAUAAUGGCUUUCUUCACCAUUGCAGUUAGUGAAGAAAGGAUUGUCAAUACUUUGUUCACAGUGUUGUUUAGAAGAAGAGGAUGUAAAAAACCUUGUUGCUUUGCAAUAUUGAUAGGAGAUGGCUUUUUUAUGGUCAUUCUCACAAACAGUGUCAAAUUGUGAGGGCAAAAUAAUUCUCCUGACAAUGAUAGAAAUUAGUAGGAAAAAUAUCUUUUAUAACUAGAAGAGUUAUAGCAUAGGAAACACAUCCUUUAUAACUAGAAGAGCUAUAGUAUAUAAAAACUCUCUCCCAAGUCUAUUUGAAGAUUCAUCAUUUGUCUCCGAUGGAAUAACCAACUAUAAAUUACAUGGGAUAUGAGAUAAUGGGGAUAUAACUAUUAGAGCAUAGUUAAAAAAUAGUGGAAUCAAAUCUAAAGAUAGUGAGGAUCAGAUGCAGUUAUAUUGUUGUAGUUAUCCUCUUAGUACUCAGAUAUAUUGCACUUUUUGUCUUUUGCCUUGUUGGACUCUUGGUUUCCUUGGACUCACAUUUUGCAAAGUUAUGUAUACAACAUUGAUUUCAAUUUUAUAAAAAAGUCAUUAAUAAAAAAGCACCCCCCCCCUCCCUUCACUUGCUAAUGAUGGUCAGAUAUGAAUUACCACUAGACUAGAGCUCAUAUGCAGUGAGUAGUGCGGUUAUUUGUUCUCCUUUGUGCCAGCCUUGUUCCCGCAUGUUUACUUAGAAAUUGAUGAAACCUCUCUAAUGCUUAUGUGAAUGUCUCACAUUGCCGAUGCUUUGUAAUUUCACUACAGGAGAACAUAAAAUGAAUAAACUUCCAGCUAUCAAAUUGACUAGGUAUGCUGCAUAUUGAUUAAUUUUAUCCCUGGAAAUUGAAUUCUAAUACCUGUAGCAAGAUAUUUUGGAACAUUUGAAUAUGUGAAGUAUCUAGGGCCCUCUGAUCGCUGAUAUUGUAUCUUGCAACUUCAAUUGAUUAAAACCUGAGUUCAUAAAAUAGGCUUGGAUUUGACAACUUCGGUUGAGUUGGGUUUUAGACAAAUGAACUUCAUGUUUAGAUUGAGCUUGGAUUGAUUUUCAAUCUAAUAUGACCCACCAGAUUUGCACCCUAAAUUUUAUGCCAUCUUAUUAGUAGAGUUGUCAUUCAUUUCCUUAAAUCAGUUCCAACUUUUUCUAUCAACUGAUAAACGAAUUGAUCAAGAAUGCCUAUCAUAAAAAAUAAAAAUAAAAAACAACGAAUUAGAUACUAAUGGUUCCCUAUUCUUACAGUAUUUUAUACUGGUGUAACUGAUCCAUUAAUAUGUAGUACAACAUAAUAUAUUUAAACUAUUGAACAUGGGAACCUGUCUCAGGUUUUGAGUAACUGGCAAUGUUCAUAGUUUUUGGAAUCUGCUCACAAAUAUACCAGAUAAUAGGAGGAUCUACUGUGUCCCAUAGAGUGCUACUAGCCUACCACAAUAUUCUUUAUCAGUUUUUUAUAUAAAUAAGAUAUUCAACUGCCAGGAUUAAUACAUCUCAAUGGUUAGAAUUUUCACUUAAUCAUUAUACUAAGUUUCUGUUUAUGUUGCUUUGCUUUCAAUCAAAAAGUGGUGUGCUAAGUUUGCUUAUUUUCAUAUUAUCAUUUGAGCUCUCUCUCUCCCUGUACCCCGUUUCUCAUUUAUUGGGAUGUGAGAGAACAAUUUUGUUGACUUCUGGUCAAAUCUGAGUGAUAUUAACAUUCUGAUUCCAGUGUUCUUUAGCUUUCAGCAUCAUUCUGCUGGAAAUUAUAGUUGAUAUAAAGUUGUUUAUUGUUUAAUUGUUUGACCUGUUCUGUUCUCAAAUCAGAGAGGCUUGCUAAUCCUUGAUUUGCAAUUCCACUAGUUUUUUUUUUUUUUUUUGUGUUUAUGAUUAAACGAGCUAAUACAUUAAUCUAAUUCCAAUUAAUUUACUUGAGUGAGACUAGUUGUUUCAACAUGCAAUACAUGAUAAGUUUUUGGUAAAAAAUCUUUAGUUUUUGUUGACUUUAUUGCAUAGGUCUUAUUUGGUAGAUUUCUUUGUACUUUUAAGAUAAUAACUAUUAUUUUUUCUUUUAUUUGCAGUGAACAAAAAGGUUUCAGCUAACAAAUUGAAACAACAGGCGGUCAAGGCUUCCUACGAACAUGAAAGGCAAAAAUAUGCUGAAACUUCUCAAUCAAUACCUUCUUAUUCUUGCCCAAAUGGGGGUAUUAUUUCUUCUCAUUAUUUUCCUUGUUAAUUUGGUUACAAUUGAAGUGCAUUGCAUUAGCAUUGAGUCCAUAGUUUUGAUUCUUAUUCCGUUAGUUUUGAACUUUGAAGUUUAUUUAGACAAUGUAACUUGUCCAAAAGAAAAACAGUGGAAAGUUCAAAAUUCUGAACCAUGUUUACUUCAUCCUGGAGUUCCUCCUAGAAGACUAAUUUUCACCCAAAUGAUUAGAUGUUGUCAAAUAUUAUUUGUCUAUGUGGCUUAUUUCUACAGGUGCGGCCCUAUAAACUGUGGAUUGAAAUGGAAAAUAUUGAGAAAGGGAUUGUAGAAAUCAUUGCUCAGAAUAAUAGGAAAUGACUUGUUAUGGGAGCUGCAGCAGAUAAAUAUUAUUCAAAGUAUUAACCAUCUAUUACAAGUUCUUAUUGUUGACUGCAUUGAUUUAUUUGAUAUUGUUGUAGAAUUACUCGAGGCUUCCACCCUAGGCAUUUGGGAUAAAAGUUUUGUUGAAUUUAGUGGAAUUUCUUGAAGCUUCUACAAGAAUUAUUCAAUAUUAGUGCACAAGUAUUGUUGCUCUGCAGGAGGCCUCUUGAUGUAGCCUAGUCGGUUAUAAAUUGCUAUGAAGAUUAACCCAAUUUUAAGUCAUAAAAGAUCAGCUCAUUGUAGUGCUAUACUUUUCUUUUCAGCAUUUUAGGAAUUAAAUUGACAGACAUAUCUUUUCAAUAUAUUUUUCAGGCAGUUGAUAAAGUUCGGUUAUUUCUUUUGUGUUAGAAUCAAUGUUGCUCUGGUGCUNNNNNNNNNNNNNNNNNNNNNNNNNNNNNNNNNNNNNNNNNNNNNNNNNNNNNNNNNNNNNNNNNNNNNNNNNNNNNNNNNNNNNNNNNNNNNNNNNNNNNNNNNNNNNNNNNNNNNNNNNNNNNNNNNNNNNNNNNNNNNNNNNNNNNNNNNNNNNNNNNNNNNNNNNNNNNNNNNNNNNNNNNNNNNNNNNNNNNNNNNNNNNNNNNNNNNNNNNNNNNNNNNNNNNNNNNNNNNNNNNNNNNNNNNNNNNNNNNNNNNNNNNNNNNNNNNNNNNNNNNNNNNNNNNNNNNNNNNNNNNNNNNNNNNNNNNNNNNNNNNNNNNNNNNNNNNNNNNNNNNNNNNNNNNNNNNNNNNNNNNNNNNNNNNNNNNNNNNNNNNNNNNAGGUAGUACCUAGGGUCCCUUAAGGUAGUACCUGAAGGCCAUUAAGGUAGUACCUAAAGGCCAUUAAGGUAGUACCUAAGGUACAGUACCAAAAAACCUUUGGUGGACCACUUGAGCACUCAUGAGAACCACAUAAUGGCAUGGUGUAAGGGUCACAAAGGAAGACCCGAGGCUUGGGAGAGGUUGAGUUCAGGUUUAGCUAAGGUAGUACCUAGGGUCCCUUAAGGUAGUACCUGAAGGCCACUAAGGUAGUACCUAAAGGCCAUUAAGGUAGUACCUAAGGUACAGUACCAAAAAACCAUUGGUGGACCACAUGAGCACUCAAAAGAAGCACAUAAUGGCAUGGUCUAAGGGUCACAAAGGAAGACCCGAGGCUUGGGAGAGGUUGAGUUGAGGUUUAGCUAAGGUAGUACCUAGGGUCCCUUAAGAUAGUACCUAAGGUCCCUUAAGGUAGUACCUGAAGGCCACUAAAGUAGUACCUAAAGGCCAUUAAGGUAGUACCUAAAAUAUAGUACCAAAAAACCAUUGGUGGACCACAUGAGCACUCAAGAGAAGCACAUAAUGGCACGGUCUAAGAGUCACAAAGAAAGACCCGAGGCUUGGGAGAGGUUGAGUUCAAGUUUAGCUAAGGUAGUACCUAGGGUCCCUUAAGGUAAUACCUGAAGGCCACUAAGGUAGUACCUAAAGGCUAUUAAGGUAGUACCUAAGGUACAGUACCAAAAAACCAUUGGUGGACCACUUGAGCACUCAAGAUAAGCAUAUAAUGGCAUGGUCUAAGGGUCACAAAGGAAGGCCCGAGGCUUGGGAGAGGUUGAGUUCAAGUUUAGCUAAGGUAGUACCUAGGGUCCCUUAAGGUAGUACCUGAAGGCCAUUAAGGUAGUACCUAAGGUACAAUCCAAAAAAACCAUUGGUGGACCACAUGAGCACUCAAAAGAAGCACAUAAUGGCAUGGUCUAAGGGUCACAAAGGAAGACCCGAGGCUUGGGAGAGAUUGAGUUGAGGUUUAGCUAAGGUAGUACCUAGGGUCCCUUAAGGUAGUACCUGAAGGCCACUAAGGUAGUACCUAAAGGCCAUUAAGGUAGUACCUAAGGUACAGUACCAAAAAACCAUUGUUGGACCACUUGAGCACUCAAGAGAAGCACAUAAUGACAUGGUCUAAGGGUCACAAAGGAAGAUCCGAGGCUUGGGAGAGGUUGAGUUCAAGUUUAGCUAAUGUAGUACCUGAAGGCCACUAAGGUAGUAUCUAAAGGCCACUGAGGUAGUACCUAAAGGCCAUUAAGGUAGUACCUAAGGAACAGUACCAAAAAACCAUUGGUGGACCACUUGAGCACACAAGAGAAACACAUAAUGGCAUGGUGUAAGGGUCACAAAGGAAGGCUCAAGGCUUGGGAGAGGUAGAGUUAAAGUUUAGCUAAGGUAGUACCUAGGGUCCCUUAAGGUAGCACCUUAGGACCAUUAAUGUAGCACCUAAGGGCUCUUAAGGUAGUACCUAAGGUACAGUCCCAAAUUUCUUCUGGUUUAAAGUGAUUUGGUGCAAAAAAAAAUACAAAUUGUGCAAAAUGAGGCCUGAAUCCAUCUAUGCAAUUUCAUUAUUGCAAUGUUCCAUUAUAGAAUACACCUUAGCAAGGCCUUAUCCCAAUUACUAAGAUUUGGGAGCUGUAGGGUACGACUCCUUGGUAACACUCAAACUGAGAUCUAAAACUAAGAUGAAAUCAGAGAAAAGAGAUCAAAAGAAAGGGGAUUGCAUCCAAAAACUGCUAUUAUGAUAAGCAAAUCAGCAAGAACACCAGGAAUUUCUCUUAUCGCUAUGAUACUCUCAUGCACAGGAGAGGAAGGGCACUACUUUGGGCAACUCUCAACUUGAGAAAACAGCUUUAAACAACUCUUUCUCUUAGGAAAGGUAACAGUUGAUUUUAGCAACUUUCUCUUAAGACUCUAGUUCUUCCCUUCAUUGGGAAUAAGCAACUAAAUCCUGAUUAAUGGCUUAAAGGCACUUAAAACAGGACUUAAAAGGUUGAGCCCCCUACAAAACCAAGAGGUGGAAACCCUGCCCUCGCUCUCAAGACCCAGAUGGCAUAGAAAUUGAACACAACUCAACAGAUCAACAAUUUUGAAUUGAUAACCCAUGGAUGAAAAUAAUGCUNNNNNNNNNNNNNNNNNNNNNNNNNNNNNNNNNNNNNNNNNNNNNNNNNNNNNNNNNNNNNNNNNNNNNNNNNNNNNNNNNNNNNNNNNNNNNNNNNNNNUGAAUAAUAGACAUUACCAGAAAUUUCACAAAAUACCAUUGAUGCAUCCCAAACCGUAGUUCCCAAAUGCUUCGAAUUGGGAUUCUACCACAAGAAGAAAAAAUUGGCAGCAUUGAAACCACAAAUUGCAACACAAUUAAUAAAAGAAAAAAUAAACAAAUAGAAAACCCCCCCAAGAAUGCAAUCAAACUAUCAUUCAGCAAUUUUGGAAAUAUUGUAAACCAACACCAUUAUCAUUCAAGUUUCCGAAGUAACCCAUGAUAAGAGCAAGAAGAUCAUAAAACACUUCGAAAAUAACCCAUACCCACCGAAGAAAAACAUGAUUCACGAUGACCCACAUACCUCAUGCCCUUGAAAAUCAAUGAAAGCUUAGCUGGGUUCGGGUCUUUUUUGUGAUCAUCUUUCAGCUUUCAUUUUUUUUCCAAUUCACAUAUGAAUCUUUACUAAAUUACGUCUUGGCUGUUGACAUGGAGUUUGGGCUUUUUAGGUUCCUAAUGUGGACGCUGAGCUGGCCCAAGGGUAAGGCCCAUUUUCGGUAUGAAAUAACACCUAAGACCAGAGUGCAUGAAAAGGAAAUUUUUUCUCCAAAUAGUGGACAUAUCUUGGGUUAUGCAAACUUGGGUUUUGAAAACAAUAUUACCUUCAAAUGGGCCUCCCGAAACACAACUUUCCCAUUUUAAUUCCCCUAAAAAGAAAAAAUACAUCUUACAACAUCUAGAUUCGAAACCACACUCUGCUUUCCCCCCUUUUCUUAGCGUGUUUUGGCCAGUGAGUGAUCUGCAGCUAGGAUUUAUAAAGACCAGAAAUGACGCGUCUUGGACUAGAAGGUAAACACGAAGCUUCCAAUUUUCUUCGUCCAAAUUUUGGGAGUACAUUGACUUGUGCAGGUUCCAUCGAAAAAAGAUCAACAUGUAACAUUUUGAAGGUAUAAAAACUAUGGGGAGAAUAUGAAAAAUGUGUAAUGCCUAAGUAAUAUUAGUGCCAUUAGAAGUGGAAAAAAAAAAUUAAAAAAGUGGAAAAAAAUUGAUAAUUAAAAUUAAAAAGGGAUUUCCCACAUUCACCCUCUCGAAAUUUUAAGUAUUUUAACCUUUUAAUUUAUUUUCAUAAAUUCCAUCCAUGUUUGGUGUAAUUAGUGUGCAUAAAUAAUAUCAUAGCUAUUGAAAAAAAAUUAGAAUUAAAAAAUUUACAAAAAUUAGAAGGCACGAAACUUCCUGAAUUUUUUAGUAUUUCCAAUUAUUAUUUUUCUUUUGUGUGCAUAAUUUCAGCAAUCCUAAGGGUAAUUAGUGUUUAUAAGUAAUAUCAAAGCUAUUCGAAAUGGAAAAAAAAUUUUAAAAAUUCCAAAAAAUGGGAAAUUUAACAUGUUUCGUACCUUUCUCAAAUUUUAAGUAUUUUCAAGUUUUAAUUUUUUUAUGCAUAAUUUCCAUUAAUCUUAAGUGUAACUAGUAUUUUAAAUAAUAUUAUAUCUAUUCAAGUAGAAUUAAAAAAAAAUUCACAAAAGUUGGAGGGUACAUAUCUCAUAUUCUUAGUAUCCUCCUUAUUUUUUAUUUCUCCAUAUUUUCAAGUUUUAAGGUUUUUUUUUUUUUUUGGUAUUAUUUCCAACAAUUCCAAGUGUAAUUAGUGUUUUUAAACAGUAUUAUAUCUAUUGGAAGUUGAUUUUUUUUUAAAUUCCAAAAAAUGGAAGUUAGUAUUUGUUGUUUCCUAAACUCAUUUCGACAUCGAACCUUGCAUUUUCUUCAAAUUGAUUGAGAUAUAUGGGAACUAGGUUGGAAUGGUUCAACUCAUUGAGGGGGCCAAAUGUCCUAUGACGAUCCAAAAGGCAAUUUUAACUUAUUGAGUUAGAGUCUAGACCGGUCAAGGAUUGAUUGAAUUGAUAGAGCAAUUGGUGGAGCUCCUGUGGCCUAACAAUCACCUACAAUUCCCUAGUGGCUAGUAGCAAAUUUGACUAGUUGAAUGAUUCGUUGGCCCCAAAUUUUCCAACAACAAGUUUAGGCUUUUAACUAUUGUUUAAAGGCUCUAAACUUCUUAUAUUGAUGAGAAGCUAUGUGUUUGAGUGCAUUUUGCUUCAAAACUUACAUUUCAACUUAGGGCACCUCUUAGUUAUAGUUUCUUUGCAUCAAUUUAAGCCAAAACUACAAACUAGGAUCUUAUUAUGUUUCAUUUAUAUAUCUUGUGAGAAUUUCAAAGUAGGAUCACUAGGGGACUCAAGAGUAUGGUAUCUUUUUAGAGGGUUCAUUAGAAUCAUAAUCCAAGGGAUAUAGUUUGGAGACUUUGGUUCUAAAAGUCUUAUGGUCGUAAAGGAUCCCUUGAAACCACAAUCCAAGGGCAAAGCUUGAAGGCUUGGGUUGGAAGUAUUGUUGGAACUCUUAAUGUUGAAGUUUGAAGUGAUGAGUGGAUGUAAGAUUGCAUUAAGCUACUAUAAAAGCUCAUGUUUGCAUUUCUCCAUUCGUUUUCUCUAUUUACUUCUAUAUGUAAUUGCUCCCCCAUUAUAUUUGCUUUCUUAGUAAUUAAAUUGUCUCUUGCAUUCAUCCUAGUUCUUAUUUAUUAAAACUAUAAAAAGAGACCAUCACCUAGUUCGUCCACUCUCUUAGAUAAUUACCUUACAUUCAUUAAUACAUAGCCCUAACCAUAAGUUUAGAAAUAUGAGAAACAUCAUUCCAUCAUAGUAUGUUUGAACCACAACAUCCCAAAUGACAUGAGUUAUAGAAAGCUAGAGAAAAAUGACACUAUCAUUUGAAGUCAUUGAAUUCAAAAGUCAUGAAAUCAACAUGACAUUCUCUUUUCCUCAAGUAAAGAAGAAGGAUCACAAGUUUAUUAAAAGUUAUUUGUGCAUAUUAAGGUUUUGAAACUGCACUAAAUAGACUAGACUAUUGACCUCUCCAAUUCGAUUGGCUUAGUUGAAUAGCUUAUGAAUUAGACUACUGUUGAAUUGUUUGAACUGGGCAGAUUGGUCAGUUCUCUAAGAAUCAACAAGUUUAUUUGACCCAAAAUGGUAAUGGGUAGUUGCAACUUUUGGUCCAAUAAUGCUAGCAACCUACCAUUGCGCCAACUAGUUAGGCUUAUACUUGUUGUGAUGUGUUUGUACAACCUUUUAGCUUCAUAUUCUCAUACAUGGGAUUGCUUAUAAGGUGCAAAAAAAGAAUUUUUGCUUUAGGAAGACUCGAGACCACAAAAUAAUUGAAUCAUUAAGCUAUGAGAUCACUUUAUUAGUUAUUGCAAUAAAAUAAUACACACAUACAUACAUGUGGCUCAAUGAUAAGUAUAAGUUAUUAUAUAUAUAACUUAUACAUAUAAACAAACAUAAAUAUUUACCUUGACAUUUAAUUUUAUAAUGAUAAGUAUGACAAUAAUAUAAGUUAAAUAAUAUAAUAUAUUUUUAAAAAAAUUAUAAAAUAAUAAGAUAUAUAACUUUUGAAAUAUAGAUAAAAUUAAAAAUUAUAAUUUUCCUACAUUGAUCUAACCAUUAAACCAUCAAUGAAUAAUGUUUCUAGUUCAAUCAUUGAUAUGAAUUUGAAAUAUGACCGUUACACAUAAUUAUUUCGUAACACAAAAGAUCAAAUAAAAUUUAAUCUAAAAGAUAAUAUAAAAAUCAUAAGGAUGAAAAUCUCUAAACAUACUUGAGAGUGUUUUACUUAGGUUGGCAAUUUUAGGGCAAAAACUUCUAAGUAUUCUCCCAACUUGGGUCUAUUAAAUCCUUUUGCGAACUACUUAUUGUAAGUGUUUUUAGGUUAAGAUAUGUAGUUGAGGUUGUGAUAUGGAUGAAAUUAAAUUAACCAAAAUUUCAAAUUAAUGAAAAUCUUUUAAAAAUGGUUUUGGAAGACUUGGACAAAAAAUUUUUUGGCUAAGUAUUUUUGUGCCAUGUUCCAAGAUUGAUCCAAAUUUAUGUAGGAUCAAUUCAUUUGUUGUUGAAUCAUUUUUCAGUUACUAGAUCAAUGAUUCUUCAACUUAUUUAAACAAAUGUUUCUAUUUUAAGGUGUGAAGAAUACCAAUAACCGUUUUUCUCACUCCCUUUGAGUGUCCUCUAACUCUUAAUCUUCAAUCCAAAUUGGAAGUGUUUGGUUGCCAAGAAAAUCUUCCUUACUUCGAUUUCUAAAUUAGAGUUUUGAUUAAGUUUUUUGAAAAAUGGUCAAUUAAUUUUUUCCAUUCAUCUCUUUUGUUCUUGUUGAUUUGGGUUUGAAUAAAACCAUAUUUUCUUCUUAUGUGAAUUCAAGAAAAAACUAAGAUCGAGUUUGAUAUGAAGUCCAAGUGUGUUUAAGAAGAAAAAUGUUUGAAGUUGAAGUUGAAAGAUGUUCAUCAAGUAGUCAGAGAAGGAUUUGUAGACUUGAAUUAGGUAAAACUUUAUACUAAGUUUUUCUUCAUAAUAAAUGCUCUUGAUUACUUGUGGACCAAUGAUUUUUUAUCUCUAUUGAUAUUUUUUUCCAUUAAAUCUUGGUGGGGUUACUUUAUUCUUUCUAUCUUUUCUUUAGUUAAUUUUCUAUAUAUUUAUCUUUACUAAAAAAAAUUACCAUAAUUUAAUGAGUAUAUUUAUAAAGAAUUUGAGCUAAAGUUUCAUUGUAUAUUCCUUGAAAUAGUUUGGUAAUUUCCAACUUUGAUUUUAUUGGAAGUAAAGAAUAUUUAAGAUUGUAAAUUCUUACAUGUGAUUUAGUCUCACUAUAAAAAAGAAUUGAUAUAAAAAAAUAAAAACAAAAAAUUCUAAAUAAUGUUUUAGGUAUAAUCUAUAGUGAAGAUUCAUCCACAACAUUGUUCACACCUGUCAACCGCCAGUUUUAAUAUGCCUUGCUGGAAUAGGAAUUUCCAGGUUAAGAAAUGCAACCGAAUCCAUUUUCGAUCUUUGUGGUCGAUGAACUUCAUAGGUCGAUACGAGCCUAUGCCUUGGCCAAUCUGAAUCAGUAUCAAGUCCUGUUUUAAACUAACCUCCAACCGGAUUCAGUUUUCGUGUGAAAAAAGUUCACACAAAAUUUCCCUUAAUGCCAACCAAAGUUGGCACGAAGGACGGGGUGCAGGAAAAUACAUUCCUUGAUUGAAGCCAGAACCAAAUAUGACAAAUAGCCGAUGAAUUAUGGCACCACAACUUCUUGUAAUCAUCACUAGAUUUCACACGUCGAAUAGAACUGCUUCCCAUUUUACAAGUCCACAUUGUUUGAAUAUAAUUAGGCGUCCGUUCCACAACUUUGGAGGAUAAAAGUUUUUCAGAAACCAAUCUUCAAAUUGAUAAAUGGUAGUUUUUUCAUUCAUUCUUUCAUUCGUUCAUGUACAGAGUAUAUAUAGAGGGUAAUCACCAUUCUAAGAAUGGGAAAGAAUGAUACAAGGAAAGAAUGAUAUAAGGAAAUAACAACUAAUAUCCUAAUAUCUCAACUUUCCUAAUAUCUCAAUAUUCCUAAUAUCUCAACUUUCAUAAUAUCUAAACAUUCUUAAUAUCUCAACACUAAAUGAUACAAGGAAAAAAUGAUAUAAGGAAAGCAUUCCUAAUAUCUCAACAACCAGUAUUUUAAAGCCAAUUCAAGUUGAUAAUUUCUUCAGGCACUAAUAGAGUGAGAUCGGGGAGCAAGUGCGUAAAACAUUCCCACAGCUUGGCAGUCUCUUCAUCGCAGAUUACCCUCUUCAAAUCCACGAGAUCCGUCACUGAUGAUGGCAGCUCGCACAAACGCUGGCACCUUCUCAUGUGGAACUCUCUUAGACUACGCAACUCGCCUAUUUGUUUCGGCAUUUUCCUUAUUAGUAAACAACCAGUUAUAUCAAGAACCCUCAACUUGUGGAGGCUUCCCAUUGAGUCUGGCAAUUUUGACACCAAUGUACAGGCACUAACCCUUAGCACUUCCAGAUUUGUAAGCUUCCCUAUUCCUUCCGGCAGUGAAGACAGCUUAUGGCAGUUGCUGAUGCUCAGCUUAUUCAGCUGGAUUAAAUCGCAAAACCCUUCUGGUAAUUCCACCAAGUCAUUACAGUAAUCAAUGUUGAUUUCCCUAAGGUUGGGUAACAUUUCUGGAAUCUGGAUGGUACUACUUGCAAAAGCUUGACCAAUCUUAUGACACAUAACUAAGGAUAGCUUCUCCAAAUUCUUCAAUUCUAUACUGGUUUUGCAUAGUGUUGGAAUUGAAACUUUCUCUAACCUGAUUCUCUUUAGAUUCAAUAAGGAACCAAGUAUUGAAAAAUUAGUCAAUUCAGCAGUGCAGAAACCAUAAUUUGUUACUACUAGAACCUUCAGUUCAUCCAUUUGCUUCAUGAACUCUGGCAAUUCGUAUUUCUUUUCUGUCUGAUUAAAGUUCAGUAUUAGAGCCUCAGCUUCAGGAAGUUGCAUGCUACACCAGCUUGAGGAGAACAUUUCAUCUACAGAAUAUCCUAUAUAAAGUGUCAGAAGGUAGGGAAAGAAGUAAUGCCAAAUACUGUAUGAAAUAUUAGAUUCCAAUAAUGAGAAAUAGAAAGAGAUAAGAGGGGGACCUGUGGAGAUGGACACAAGACGAGCACUUGAUCGGGGUUGCUUCUCUUUAGUCCACCACUCGGGGAGUCUGUUUCCUGUCAAGUCCACGAUUAGUCUUUUCCUCUUUUCUAUGGGCUCCUGUUUGCUCUGAUAAAUGGCUAGAUCCCUGAGAAGAUCAUGCUGCAUGACAAAGGCAUCGUUGUAGCACCGAUCAAUCUCAUUUGCAUCAUUCCUGGAGGACCUACAGAAAUUGGUUAGAGUGAUACUAAGGAUUGAAGAAUAUAAUUGCAAAUCAAGAAAUAUAAGUCUUAUUUUAUUUUUGUGCUCAUGUGAUUUGACCAUCUCAAAACAAAUGGGGUAAAAAUUGCAGAAAUUAGCAGGAGUUGGAAUCCCCCUUCAAUGCUAGCGUUAAUAGAUUUCUUUUCUCUAUAGCGAUUGUAAUAGAACAUUACUAAUUGCAUAAAAUGCUGAUAGACUAAAUUAUAAGAUUAUAAAGAGAAAAAAGACAAAAAGUUACUGCUUUAAAGACAAAUAGCAAGCCUGUGUACCUUGUGACCACAAGAUUAAGCAGAUUCCGAAAGCAGAGUUUGUGAAGGUUGGAAAUGGCAUAAAUGCCGCCUUUAUCUAGUUUGUGCAAUUCCGCCCACAUAUCUAUAAGAGCAGUGGCAGGGAUUUUUUGGUCUUCAGGAAAUGAACCCAAGUCCAUAAAACACUCCUUCAGCAUAAUAUCCUUGUCAUCAAGGGCAUCUAAGCUACUUUGAAGACAAUUACGCAGUUCAUCUUCAG